rnacentral:rRNA from 1 species
GAUGAACGCUGGCGGCGUGCCUAAUACAUCCAAGUCGAGCGAAGCGGGGACGGGUGAGUCACACGUGGAUAACCUCCUAUAAGGCUGGGAUAACUUCGGGAAACCGGAACUAAACCGGAUACUUAUAGAUCGAUCCGCGCUGCAUUAGCUAGUUGGUAAGGUAACGGCUGACAACGGCAACGAUGCAUAGCCGACCUGAGAGGGUGAUCGGCCACACUGGAACUGAGACACGGUCAAGACGCCUACGGGAGUCAGCAGUAGGGGAUAUUCCGCAAUGGGCGAAAGCCUGACUGAGCAAAGCCGCGUUAGCGAUGAAGGUCGUCGGAGCGUAAACCGCUGUGAUCAGGGAAGCGGUACCUAAUCAGAAAGAUCAGGCUAACUACGUGCCAGCAGCCGCGGUAAUUC